CUAAGUAUUAUCAUAUAAAAACCAGCCCAGUGUUUUACAUAAUAAUUUUCAUUUUGGGAGCAGAAAAUAUUUGUGAAAUAAGUCUGCAGAAGUAGCAUGAGAACUUGGAGCGUGAAAAGGAAUUUCUAGCCUGUUCCCUGCAUACCCUGGCUUGUUCACAUCUUGCAUCAAAGGCCCUGAAUGGUGCCUUUAUUGUAUUAUCAUAAAGAAACCAAACCUGUGUUUUAUAUAGUCUCUUUAAUUUUGUGAGGAGAAAAUACUUGUGAAUUGAUGAGUCCACAGAAAUAGCAAGCACAGAUCUCCAUCACCUUUCGUAGCUGUGAAUUUGUUGGGAGCAUGACAGCCUGCAAUGUCACCUGGAGAACCAGGCAUUCAACUUAAAAUUUGGGAGUCAACACAUGAAAGGUAGCCUUUGAAGUGUUACUUCUUUCUUGAAGUAUUCUUGAAUUAUAGUCAAAAUGAUCAAUUAUUCUGGAUAUGCCUGGUAGAAGAGGACUUCUGUUAGGUUUUAACUUUGAAGCAUACAAGCAGAUGGCAGUUGAAGGCAACUUUGCAGUUAUUGAAGCAAGAAAGCAGCGGCGUUCCUUGAGGUGAAGCGAUGUGGGCAUGCAUCUGGGCUGGUGCUGGUGAAUCGAAGGAGGUGCAGCGAAAGGACAAG